rnacentral:misc_RNA from 1 species
CCCGAACACGAGCGCCGUGCCAAGGUCGGGCUGGGCGAAGACGAGGAGCGCCGGCAGGGCGACGAUGCCCACGGACUUGAGGAAGGUCUUGUCGUCGCCGAGGCGGUUGUCGGCGAAGUACCCGGCCAGCACCACGACCACGAGGAGCUUGGCGAACUCCGAGGGCUGAAACUGUAUGGGGCCUAUGUCGAUCCAGCGCUGUCCCCCCUUGGCGCUGAUGCCGAUGAUCGCCACCAUGAGGAGC